UCAACAAGUAUCGUUUUUGGACAAAUCUCCAAUAAUAAAGUUGGAGUUUAAUAGGCAAAAAAGUCGCUCAAAACCGGUUCAUUUUUUGCUACGCUCCAAAAUUGCUCUUGAAAGCCAAAAUAACUACUUGAAUUAAAAGAGCCCCACCAAAGAUCACACUUUGCAAAGAACAAUGGAUUUGAAAUUUUAGGGAUCUGUGCCGAUUUUAGGGAUAAUUGGAGCUAUUAUUGAAAUUUUUGUAAUUUCAAUUCCUGUUUGUUACUCUUUUAUCUCUCUUUCUGCUUUUUUCUCUUUGCUUAUUCUCAAUUUAUAUUUUUGUAUUUGAAAAUUUCUUCUUCCUUUUUCUUGGCAAGAGGUUUAAAUAAAUAUUUGAAUGGACUAUAAUGGAUGUGAAAGAACAAUCAACAAUGUCGCUAAGAAUGUCAAAGGGUUUGUACAAUUGUUAUUCUUCUUCAAAACAGAAGCUUUCUUCUUCAAUCAGUCCAUCAGCCUUCUAAAUUCUUUUUCUCCAUUUUCUUUGUAGUUUUCAAGAUUGUUCAAAUACAACUUCAAAUAAUUUGGCCUUUUCCCCAUCCUCUAUUUAAUAGAGUCUUUACACACUCAAUUUAGUUAAGUUUGAAUGUCAAAAGUCGAUUGAUUCUGAUAUCUUAUCACUUUAUCUUCAUGUUCAAGUACAGUCAAUGUUUAUGAAAACUGAAUUGCUUAGAUUUUUUUUUUAAAUUCCAAGGUCUUAAACUGACUAUGUUAAAAUGCAGUGAUUGAAACCUAGAAUGGGUCAAACUCUGUUUACUCGCAAAGGUAAAGCAGAAUGCUGCGAUUUGAACCUCACAGAACAAUGCAAAGUUUUUUUCAUUCUACUCGAUUUCAGCUUAUAGUUUGAGGACGAGGAUAGUUAACCAUUAAUUGUAAUAUUUUUGGAUGCUGAAGAAAGUACAAAGCGAGGAGAUGCAAAGCAAUGGGAGUAGUGAAGGAUCAGAUCCAAGUGCUUCUGGACAUAGCGGGUGCUGAUUUUCUCGCACAAUUAAUUUUCCGGAGAUUCAGAGGUAGCUGCCGUGUUUCGCAGACCUUGUCUCUCCUUCUCUAUCUCCUUGUUUACUGUAGUUGGUCUUAGAAUAUUAUAGACCAUUUUCUUUUGACUUGUAUCCAUAUUAGAUGCUCAUGUACUCAGUGACACCAGGUUUGGGAGCGUUGUAUCGGAAUUUGCUAGAUUUUUAGUAUUGUAUUAAACAUUAUAUUUUCAAACUUAAAGGAAAUCGUGGGUUAUUGA